GAGCGGUAUUGUUUCUUCGGAAACGAGAGAGCGGCGCACGGGUGCGGAACACGUGUGCAACCUGCCUUUAUCUGGGGGAUAGCCUUUCGAAAGGAAGAUUAAUACCCCAUAAUAUUUUGAAUGGCAUCAUUUAAAAUUGAAAACUCCGGUGGAUAGGGAUGGGCACGCGCAAGAUUAGAUAGUUGGUAGGGUAACGGCCUACCAAGUCAGUGAUCUUUAGGGGGCCUGAGAGGGUGAUCCCCCACACUGGUACUGAGACACGGACCAGACUCCUACGGGAGGCAGCAGUGAGGAAUAUUGGACAAUGGGUGAGAGCCUGAUCCAGCCAUCCCGCGUGAAGGACGACGGCCCUAUGGGUUGUAAACUUCUUUUGUACAGGGAUAAACCUUUCCACGUGUGGAAAGCUGAAGGUACUGUACGAAUAAGCACCGGCUAACUCCGUG
rnacentral:rRNA from 1 species